AUUGAACGCUGGCGGCAGGCUUAACACAUGCAAGUCGAGCGGAGAUGAGGUGCUUGCACCUUAUCUUAGCGGCGGACGGGUGAGUAAUGCUUAGGAAUCUGCCUAUUAGUGGGGGACAACAUUCCGAAAGGAAUGCUAAUACCGCAUACGUCCUACGGGAGAAAGCAGGGGAUCUUCGGACCUUGCGCUAAUAGAUGAGCCUAAGUCGGAUUAGCUAGUUGGUGGGGUAAAGGCCUACCAAGGCGACGAGCUGUAGCGGGUCUGAGAGGAGGAUCCGCCACACUGGGACUGAGACACGGCCCAGACUCCUACGGGAGGUAGCAGUGGGGAAUAUUGGACAAUGGGGGGAACCCUGAUCCAGCCAUGCCGCGUGUGUGAAGAAGGCCUUAUGGUUGUAAAGCACUUUAAGCGAGGAGGAGGCUACUGAGACUAAUACUCUUGGAUAGUGGACGUUACUCGCAGAAUAAGCACCGGCUAACUCUGUGCCAGCCGCCGCGGUAAUAC
rnacentral:rRNA from 1 species